rnacentral:rRNA from 1 species
GCAAGUCGAGGGGUAACAGGGGAGCUUGCUCCCGCUGACGACCGGCGCACGGGUGAGUAACACGUAUGCAACCUGCCUUUAACUGGAGAAUAGCUCCGAGAAAUCGGAAUUAAUACUCCAUAAUAUCUAUUUAUCGCAUGAUAGUUAGAUUAAAGCUUCGGCGGUUAAAGAUGGGCAUGCGGGACAUUAGCUUGUUGGUGAGGUAACGGCUCACCAAGGCAACGAUGUCUAUGGGGUCUUAAAGGAUGGUC